GUCUACGGCCAUGCCACCCUGAACGUGCCCGAUCUCGUCUGAUCUCGGAAGCUAAACAGGGUCGGGCCUUCUUAGUACUUGUAUGGGAGACCACGUAGGAAUACCAGGUGCUCUAGGCA
ensembl:rRNA 5S_rRNA 5S ribosomal RNA